CUGAGAAUAAAUUUGUAUUUGCUGAAAAGUUUUUAAAUUUAAUUUUAUCUUGAAUUAACACUUCAGAAGUGGGAUAUUUUCGAAAUGUGUGGACCUUACAUGGGAGGAUUGGGGAAACGACAAAGAAACUACAGUAAGACAAAAAGUUCAUGGAUAAUGGAUUUUUUUUCGGAAGACGAUGAACAACGCACGAAGGUCAAAACAAGACACGUUGCCCUUCGUGAUGCUGAAGUCAUACUAAAAUUUCUAUGAGGAUAGCAACAGCAAUGUGACUGGGUGGCUUCACAAAAUCGAUCACUUGGGAGAUAUUUAUGGAUGGGAUGACACUGACCGCAUAUUUAUCAUGCAACUUCGAUUACGCGGUUCCGUAAGGGAUUGGUACGACGAUCUAGAAGAAUAUAAUAUGUCGUGGGAAGAGUGGAAGAAUACACUACACACUGCUUUUCCUAGAUCGACUGAUUAUGCUGACAAACUGGAGCGAAUGCUGGCCAGAACAAAAGAAGACAAAGAGACAAUGACUAAAUAUUACCACGAGAAAUUGUCCCUACUACGAAAGUGUAACAUCUACGGUGAAAAUGCUAUUUCGUAUAUAAUUCGAGGCUUGCCGCUGGAGUUGAGGGCUAAUGCAAAGGCAUACAGUUGUGAAACUCCCGAACAACUGUAUUAUGGCUACUUAUCGGCACUGGAGAACCUGAAACCCGUGGUUUCAACCAGUACACGUAGAUCUUCAUGGGUGAGAGGAAACGCUGUGCAAUGGAACUUCAAUGGAACUUCGACUGUUCAACAACAGCCCAAGAAUUGCUAUGUUUGCCGGCGUCCAGGACACGAAGCAAAGGAUUGCAGACAACAACAGCGCUGCGAGAACUGUCGGCGCAACGGACACACCACGGCUACGUGCUGGUUUGCUCCGAGUUCUUCACGCCAUCAGCAACAAAAGGUUAGCCAUGUAAUGCAUAUAACUUAUGACAUAUUUUGUGACAUUUAUAAGAGAACUGUGAUCGUUAAUAAUCGCCAGAUAGUAGCGUACGUCGAUACUGGUAGCAAACUGAACAUUCUUUCAAUUUUGCGAGCAAAAGAUUUACAAUUAGAGAUUCAACCUAGCGCUACAGUUAUGAAAGGUUUUGGCGGCGCCUGUGUGAAUUCAUUAGGCACGUGUUAUCUAUUCUGUGUGUUGCAAUAG